UUUUAGUCAGCAGAACAUGCAAAAUAUUAAAAUAAUUUGCUGCUGUGGCCGUGUUUAUGAUUCUCCGUGUCAGAAUAAUACUUUAUUUUCAGUUUAGAUUUUGUGAAUACUUUAAAUUGCAGUUAAUAAUUAUUAUAAUAAUCAACAAUAAUCAUUGAAUUAGGGGGUAUCUAAUAAGUACUUACAAUAAAUUUGUGAAAGAACUUCAAAAUUGCUUUUUCACUCUGUAUGUUUUUAAUCGAUAAGUCUAUUUGUUCAUUGAUGUGUCCUUAUCUGUUAUUUUUUUAAAUAAGAGGUUCUUAUUUUUAAUAAAAAGAAAUAUUCUUUUAUUGUUGUUGUUUGUUUGUUUGUUUUUAUAAUUUUACCUUUUCUCAUGAUGGUAGAGUUAUUUUUCAUGUUUAACUGCAUUUUAAUUUAGUUGAAUUUUAUUUUUUUCUUUAGUUUUACUUUAGUGCUCUACCAACAAUCAUAAAUUUACUUUAUCUACAAUAAAAUAUGGUUUUAACUUAAAGUAAACUUUUGUCAUUUAAACUUUACUAUGUUGAUCAUUACCUAAUAGUGUAAAAAAAAAAUUAGUACGUCGCAAUCAAGGAUCAGUGUCAAGUAAUGUGUUUUGCAUACUUAUGUAUUUUUUGGGUGUUCUGUGUAUUAAAACUGAAACAUAUCAUCUUUAUAUAAUAAUACGGAACUCAAUAGUAGUAGUUCCCUUUCGAGCACGUUUGACACAAAACCCAACGCAGCCAUUGCAACCGAGGUACUGGCGAGGAAGAGUCGCAGCACCUUUUUAUAAGAAAACAUUAACGAAAGUGUGUGCUAAUAACUAACUUACGUAAACUUCAAAAUGUGAAAUGUCAUAACAUACUAAAACAUGUAUCAAGUUUUUAAGUUUUACUUUCACUUGAAAACUGCAUUGCGGCAACAUCUUAAUUUUGAUCGAUGGUCGUUUUAUAAAGACUUUUAUUUACUAUAUAUUUUUAAAAUUUGUUCAAUCGUUCAUAGUGGCAUAGCUUAGUGGUCAGCUCGCUGGCAGCUGACCUGAAGAGCCAUGGUUCGAAUCCUACCUAUGGCAUGUUUUCUUUUUAAAUUCAUUUUCGAUUUUUCUAAAGUACGAAAUAAAGAUUAUGUAUAGAGAUUAUAUACUUAACAAAUGUAAAAAUAUUUUACACUUAAACAAACGAAA